rnacentral:rRNA from 1 species
CUACGGGUUGCUCCAGUGAGGAAUAUUGCACAAUGGGGGGAACCCUGAUGCAGCAACGCCGCGUGGAGGAUGACGCAUUUCGGUGUGUAAACUCCUUUUAUAUGUCAAGAAAAUGACGGUAGCAUAUGAAUAAGCACCGGCUAACUCCGCGCCAGCAGCCGCGGUAAUACGGAGGGUGCAAGCGUUGCUCGGAAUCACUGGGCGUAAAGGACGCGUAGGCGGGUUGGAAAGUCAGGUGUGAAAUCCUACAGCUUAACUGUAGAACUGCACUUGAAACUUCUAAUCUAGAGUAUGGGAGGGGGAGAUGGAAUUAGUGGUGUAGGGGUAAAAUCCGUAGAUAUCACUAGGAAUACCUAAAGCGAAGGCGAUCUCCUGGAACAUUACUGACGCUAAGGCGUGAAAGCGUGGGGAGCAAACAGGAUUAGAUACCCCUGUAGUC